GGGCGUAGGGGUGGAGGUGGUCCACCAUAAUAGCAAGGCCCCCCACCAACGCCAUGAUAGCAUUCCGUGCAACAGCAUCCGAUGGGGGGAUAAGCCAUUGGUGGUGGAGGACAAGGUUCUGGAACCUUUGGUGGUGGUGGUGGUGGUGGUUCUUUUGGUUUCUCAGGUUCCUUAGGCUUUUCGGGUUCUUUCGGCUUUUCGGGUUGUUUCGGUUUCUCGGGUUCUUUGGGUUUUUCGGGUUCUUUCGGCUUUUCGGGUUGUUUAGGUUUCUCGGGUUCUUUGGGUUUUUCGGGUUCUUUUGGUUUUUCUGGUGCUUUAGGCUUUUCGGGUUCUUUUGGUUUUUCUGGUACUUUAGGCUUCUCAGGUUCUUUGGGUUUUUCAGGUUCUUUGGGCUUUUCGGGUUCUUUAGGCUUCUCAGGCUCCUUGGGUUUGGGAGGAGGAGGUGGAGGUUUGAUCUCAAUGCUCUUGAUUGAUCCAGCACCCUUGCAACAUAUCUUGUCCCUCAGCUUCUCAGGAUUGCAGCAUACCACGGUAAUGGUCACGGUGUUGGUUUUCUCAUCGUAUAUCUGGUCUCGUAUUUCUCUUGUUCGCAAAAACCCAUCAUCAAAAAAUUAUCAACUUAAACCAGUUCACACUUCACUGUCUUCAG
rnacentral:lncRNA from 1 species